rfam:Aedes aegypti strain Liverpool supercont1.354 genomic scaffold, whole genome shotgun sequence.
CCUCUCAUGGCGUAGUGGUAACGCGCUCCAACUAGAGAUCGGGGAGUCGUGAGUUCGAUUCUCACUGAGAAGA